rnacentral:rRNA from 1 species
CCUACGGGAGGCAGCAGUGGGGGAUAUUGCACAAUGGGGGAAACCCUGAUGCAGCGACGCCGCGUGUGGGAAGACGGUCCUCUGGAUUGUAAACCACUGUCCCCAGGGACGAAGAUGACGGUACCUGGGGAGGAAGCUCCGGCUAACUAUGUGCCAGCAGCCGCGGUAAUACGUAGGGAGAGAGCGUUGUCCGGAAUUACAGGGUGUAAAGGGAGCGUAGGCGGGACUGCAAGUUGGGGGUCAAAUCGACGGGCUCAACCGGUGGCCGCACUCGAAACUGGAGAUCUUGAGUGAAGUAGAGGCAGGCGGAAUUCGUGGUGUAGCGGUGAAAUGCGUAGAUAUUAGGAGGAACACCAGUGGCGAAGGCGGCCUGCUGGUCUUUUACUGACGCUGAGGCACGAAAGUGUGGGGAGCAAACAGGAUUAGAUACCCUUGUAGUC